GUGUGCAAGUUAAAUUACCAGGUGUUCCUUGGAUGUGGUAUGUUUCAUUCUGAUUUCAUUUCCUCCCCCCUCCCCCAUUUUAUUGUUAUUUUUUUAGCCAUUUAUCUUUUGUUAUAUACCAUGUUAAUAUUUUGCUCAUGGGAGAAUGAUCUAAGCUAAAAAAGAUUUCAUUGGAGCUCCAAAGGGUAGAUGCUAAUCUGUUUACACGAUUUCUCAAAUACAACUUUGGAGGAGUAUUUUAAAGUAUGUUAAGGGCUUAACGCAUAAGAUAAUCUGUGUACGAAUAAAUUUUCUUGACCUUCUCUUUCGUUAGCUUUGAUAUGUGCAGUCACACAGAAUGAAGUGGAGGCGUUGUAUAAGCUAUUUAAGAAAUUGAGAAGCUCCAUAAUUGAUGAUGGCGUAAUACACAAGGAAGAGUUCCAGCUUGCACUAUUUGGAAACAGUUAAAAGGAGAACCCUUGGUUAACCUAGACGAUACCUUUGAGCAAUCUUCCACCAAGGCACCAACUGCUUGGCCAACUUAAAUAUGUCAAGUAAAUCUGUCAUAGACAUUCUUACAUCUAGUCCACUAAAGGGAUUCUUUCAAGUAAUCGUGACACGAAUCAAUUUUGCAUGUCUGCCUUAAUUUAGCGAUUUCAAGCUUUCAUAGUUGUGAGAAGCGCGAACAGUAUAUAAUCAGGGACGAAUCCACUGGGGGUACAGUAGGUACAGCUGUACCCCCAUUUUCAAAUUUUUUUUUGAAGGAAAUAAAAGAAAAAAGAAAAAAAAAAAGAAACGGGGCCCAAGACUGACAAAAGACGCUCCUCAUUUAAUUUCUCUCUCA